GUAAAAGUUACAACCCUAAUCUUACAAGUCGAUAUAAAACAAAGAACUUACAACUGGCAAUCUGAAAAGCUUUGAAGUGUUUUACCGAAGAAGAUACAUUUAAAAAAGAUACUUAUGUCACUAAUGACAGAAUUUCUGGAAUUUGGAAAAACAGAUGGCGGUAGAUUUGACUUUCUUAUAAAUACUUACGCAGAUGUUUAAGAACACUUGAAUGGAAGAAGUACCUAUGUGAAUUGAAAUAACAGUUUGCCCUUAUUGAGUUCUCUGUUUAAUAUCACCUGGAAAACGAUCAACCUGGUAUUGCUGCACAUGGAAGAAAAGACGUUGUUAAUGGCAAUGCUGAUUGCCUGCAUUGUUGUAAUUACAGCUGAGAAGUACUGUCCUGAAAUCAAGAAUACUCAGUGUGAGCUGUAUUAUA
rnacentral:misc_RNA from 1 species